CGGAAUGUGCAGCCUAAUGGUAAGGCGGGGAGUUCGCGACUCCCGAUCCAGGUUCGAGUCCUGGCGCUCCGGC
rnacentral:tRNA from 2 species